rnacentral:tRNA from 1 species
GGCUCAGUGUUUGUGAUUCUCGCUUUGGGUGCGAGAGGCCACGGGUUCGAUUCCUGUCUGAGCCC